GAUGAACGCUGGCGGCGUGCCUAAUACAUGCAAGUCGAGCGAACAGAUAAGGAGCUUGCUCCUUUGACGUUAGCGGCGGACGGGUGAGUAACACGUGGGUAACCUACCUAUAAGACUGGAAUAACUCCGGGAAACCGGGGCUUAUGCCGGAUAACAUUUAGAACCGCAUGGUUCUAAAGUGAAAGAUGGUUUUGCUGUCUCUAAUAGCUGGACCUGCGCCGGUUUAGCUGGCUGGUAAGGUAAAGGCUUACCAAGGCAACGAUUCGUAGCCGACCUGAUCGAGGGAUCGGCCACACUGGAACGGAGACGCGGUCCAGACGCCUACGGUAGGCAGCAGUAGGGAAUCGGCGGCAAUGGGGGGAAGCCUGACGGAGCAACGCCGCGUGAGAGAUGAAGGUCUUCGGUGCGGAAAACUCUGUUAUUAGGGAAGAACAAAUUUGUAAGUAACUGUGCACGUCUUGACGGUACCUAAUCAGAAAGCCACGGCUAACUACGUG
rnacentral:rRNA from 1 species